GACGAACGCUGGCGGCGUGCUUAACACAUGCAAGUCGAGCGGAAAGGCCACUUCGGUGGUACUCGAGCGGCGAACGGGUGAGUAACACGUGAGUAAUCUGCCCUUCACUUCGGGAUAGCUUCGGGAAACCGAGAUUAAUACCGGAUACGACCAUGGAUCGCAUGAUCUUGUGGUGGAAAGUUUUUUCGGUGGGGGAUGUGCUCGCGGCCUAUCAGCUUGUUGGUGGGGUAAUGGCCUACCAAGGCUUCGACGGGUAGCCGGCCUGGAAGGGUGACCGGCCACACUGGGACUGAGACACGGCCCAGACUCAUACGGGAGGCAGCAGUGGGGAAUAUUGCACAAUGGGCGCAAGCCUGAUGCAGCCAUGCCGCGUGUAUGAAGAAGGCCUCCGGGUUGUAAAGUACUUUCAGCGGGGAGGAAGGGGAUGUGGUUAAUAACCGCGUUCAUUGACGUUACCCGCAGAAGAAGCACCGGCUAACUC
rnacentral:rRNA from 1 species